UCUGGCCUUUUUAGCAGCCUUCUUCCUUCGGCGAGGUCGGAGGACUUCUUCAGGAAUGAAAGGCUCGUCGGCUUCAGGCUCAUCAUUCCGAAGGGGGGUAGGUCCUGGGUCGGAGGUAGGGGUGUCGGUUCGGGAAGGUUCUUCAGUAGGAAGCUCUUCAUUAGCCUCCGAAGUCCUCCCCGCCAGAAAAUCUCCCAAAUCUUUCACUUCCGAAGAAGUUGGUUUGAUCAGGGAUACUGCAAAUAAUCACAUAUUAAAAUCCUUGCCACAUAAAUACCUCAAAAAUUAUACUGCAGAGUUAUUCAAAACUUACAUUUAUGAUCAUACAGCCAGGCUUGUUUGGUCAGCAGGGUAAAACUCCAUUCUUGUGGAGGGAUCUUCUUCAGAAAGUCUCCCAUUUCCCUCACACACUCUUCGGGAAUGUCACC
rnacentral:lncRNA from 1 species